UUUUGUCCAACUGAGCAAUCUUGCUUUCAUAAAAUAAACCAAUGUUUUAAUGUAUAAUGAUUAAAAGUCUAAAGAGUAUAUAGCUUAAAUUCUUAAUUAAAUGAAGAGUGUCCCUCAGCAGUGAUCAUGAUUCCAAACCGAGUGUUUUCUGGUGAUAGCUCAAAAGCUGUAUAUGAAAGGUUAAACUUUAUUAGCUCCACCUGGCGGUUUUACAAGGUGAGUCUGGAUACUAUUAACAUAAUAACAUGCAGCACAGUAUGAUGCGAAGUGACGCAUUAUGAUGCGUUUCAUUGCAACACGCCCACCACAUUGUACGGCAGCAUACCCCGCUUGUUUUGAAUGGCUGCAUCUGUACAUACCUAAAAGUAGGACAAACAUUCAGUAUUCAGCAAGACGAUGUAUAGAACAAAGCUAAAGCUGCACUGGAGUGGUUUAAGAAUAAUUUGAUCAUUUAGGUUUUGAAAACAGUAUUAAGAGGUGUCACAGCAUUGCAGUGGUUAGCAUUGCUGCUUUGCAGUCUUGGGGCCCUGUGCCCAAUUUCUGGGGUGCUGCAGUGCUGUAUAUGUGUGGAUUUUAUAUGUUCUCUCUGUGUUUACAUGGGAUUCUUCUGGGUGCUCUGGUUUCCGACAGUUUACCUUAGUUUACUGUACCUUUGUUAAUUAAGUUGUGGGUAAAUGAUUAAGAGUAAAAAAUGUGUCAGUCAGGCCAGAAACACACCAUAUGAGAUCAGGAGAGAAACAAGAAUUAAAAGAUGGGCAGACCAUGAGAGAGAGAAGAAGGAGCUUGCGCCAGUUUCGCUGUGUGUGACAGUGAAAACUUACUCACAUUUUGUGAAGAUUCUGUGCCAGAAGAAUGUAAGAAUCCAGUCAAUAUCUUUUAACUGUUUCCUUAAAAGCAUUCUGUCCGUUUUUGCUUCACAGAGUUGGACUUAUUGCUGAAAUGUUGUAUCAGUCAGUAGUUACCUGAUAGACCUGACUGAUAUAACACCUUUACUUUUAAUGGAAAAGAAAAAAAAUAGAAUUGCACCCAUGAAAGAACUUUUAACAACUCCACAA
rnacentral:lncRNA from 1 species